rnacentral:tmRNA from 1 species
GGGGGCGUACUGGUUUCGACAGGGAUGCCCAAAGGCAAGGCGGCGUGCCGAGGUAGCCCAUGGCCUCGUAAAAAUGGGCAAAGCCAUAACUGGCAACAAGACCUACGCUCUCGCUGCUUAAAGCGACGCCCCUCAGAAGCCCAGCCGAUGGCUCGCUGAAGGGGCGACCCAAAGUCGGCUGGCCUGCGGCAAGGCUCCGUAGCCAAGGGCGAGAUUCCACGGGGCUGGGCCCAGGCCCGCGGUUGGCGGCGUAAGCCUGGGCGACGAGCAAGCGCCAACUACGCACGUAGAUGUCUGCCGGAGGGGUCUUUGGACAGGGGUUCGACUCCCCUCGCCUCCACCA